CACGUAGGGCGCAAGCGUUGUCCGGAAUUAUUGGGCGUAAAGAGCUCGUAGGCGGUCUGUUGCGUCCGCUGUGAAAACUCGGGGCUUAACCCCGAGCCUGCAGUGGAUACGGGCAGACUAGAGGUAGGUAGGGGAGAAUGGAAUUCCCGGUGUAGUGGUGGAAUGCGUAGAUAUCGGGAGGAACACCAGUGGCGAAGGCGGUUGCCUGGAGCUUUGCUGACGCUGAGGCGCGAAAGCGUGGGGAGCGAUCCGG
rnacentral:rRNA from 1 species